rnacentral:tmRNA from 1 species
GGGGGCGACUGGCUUCGACGAGUUUGAUGAAGGGAUUGCAGCGUGCCCAGGUCCAGAGUCCUGGUUAAUCCAUCUGGAACGUUCUAACUGCCAACACUGAACUGGCAAUGGCCGCGUAAGCUGAGCUAAGCUCGCUUAUCGCACCUCCGGCAGACGGAGCCCGCCCGGGGCGCCGUGGGUCGGAUCGCAAAUCUGGGCUGGCUGAGGGUGCCGCUCCGGCGCCUGCGGCGAGAUCUUAGGAGCUUGGCCAAAGGGUGGUCGGUUCGGCACCACCCCGAGGCAACGGUACAAAGCCGAGCCUACGCACGUAGACGCAGUUCUGGAAGCUUACUCGGACCAGGGUUCGAUUCCCUGCGCCUCCACUG